AUUGAACGCUGGCGGCAUGCCUUACACAUGCAAGUCGAACGGUAACAGGUCUUCGGAUGCUGACGAGUGGCGAACGGGUGCGUAAUACAUCGGAACGUGCCCGAUCGUGGGGGAUAACGAGGCGAAAGCUUUGCUAAUACCGCAUACGAUCUACGGAUGAAAGCGGGGGAUCUUCGGACCUCGCGCGGACGGAGCGGCCGAUGGCAGAUUAGGUAGUUGGUGGGAUAAAAGCUUACCAAGCCGACGAUCUGUAGCUGGUCUGAGUGGAUGAUCAGCCACACUGGGACUGAGACACGGCCCAGACUCCUACGGGAGGCAGCAGUGGGGAAUUUUGGACAAUGGGCGAAAGCCUGAUCCAGCCAUGCCGCGUGCAGGAUGAAGGCCUUUGGGUUGUAAACUGCUUUUGUACGGAACGAAAAGCCUCUUUCUAAUAAAGAGGGGUCAUGACGGUACCGUAAGAAUAAGCACCGGCUAACUACGUG
rnacentral:rRNA from 1 species